CCCCUAGAUGUUCUGGGCCGCACGCGCGCUACACUGAACAGUUCAACAAGUCUUAACCUUGGCCGAUAGGUCUGGGUAAUCUUUGAACGCUGUUCGUGAUUGGGAUAGACCUUUGCAAUUAUGGGUCUUCAACGAGGAAUUCCUAGUAAACGCAAGUCAUCAGCUUGCAUUGAUUACGUCCCUGCCCUUUGUACACACCGCCCGUCGCACCUACCGAUUGAAUGGUCCGGUGAAAUCUCGGGACGGCGGCUUGGUCGCUUGCGUCCGACUGCUGAAACUUGAUUAAACCAUAUCAUUUUGAGGAAGGUAAAGUCGUAACA
rnacentral:rRNA from 1 species